AGUGAACGCUGGCGGUAGGCCUAACACAUGCAAGUCGAACGGCAGCACAGUAAGAGCUUGCUCUUACGGGUGGCGAGUGGCGGACGGGUGAGGAAUACAUCGGAAUCUACUUUUUCGUGGGGGAUAACGUAGGGAAACUUACGCUAAUACCGCAUACGACCUACGGGUGAAAGCUGGGGAUCUUCGGACCUUGCGCGAUUGAAUGAGCCGAUGUCGGAUUAGCUAGUUGGCGGGGUAAAGGCCCACCAAGGCGACGAUCCGUAGCUGGUCUGAGAGGAUGAUCAGCCACACUGGAACUGAGACACGGUCCAGACUCCUACGGGAGGCAGCAGUGGGGAAUAUUGGACAAAGGGCGCAAGCCUGAUCCAGCCAUACCGCGUGGGUGAAGAAGGCCUUCGGGUUGUAAAGCCCUUUUGUUGGGAAAGAAAAGCAGCAGGUUAAUACCCCGCUGUUCUGACGGUACCCAAAGAAUAAGCACCGGCUAACUUCGUG
rnacentral:rRNA from 1 species